ACCCGCGGCCCGCCCCUGGCCGCCCGACGGGAGGGAGGGAUCGGGUUCUCCUAGGAAGUUUCAGUAUGCAUUCUUAGAAACCAGAUAUACAAAGACAAGAUCUCUGCUUUCAAGAAGCUCUCAAUCUGAUUGAGGAGAGAAACAGGUAGCAAAUAAUGGCAGCAGAGCAUGACGGAGUCUCACUCUGUCACCCAGGCUGGAGUGCAGUGGCGGGAUCUCGGCUCACUGCAAGCUCCGCCUCCCGGGUUCACGCCAUUCUCCUGCCUCAGCCUCCCAAGUAGCUGGGACUACAGGCGCCCACCACUACGCCCGGCUAAUUUUUUUGUAUUUUUAGUAGAGACGGGGUUUCACCGUUUUAGCCGGGAUGGUCUCGAUCUCCUGACCUCGUGAUCCGCCCGCCUCGGCCUCCCAAAGUGCUGGGAUUACAGGCGUGAGCCACCGCGCCCGGCCGUGCUGACUGUUUUUUGAAGAUAAAAUGAUCAAGUCAGAUUUGAAGAAUUGACUGUUGGAGGUCAUUCAACAUUUAUUCAACCAAAAAUACUAAGUCAGCUCUAUACAAACUAAUGGA
rnacentral:lncRNA from 10 species